AAAAAGACAAAACCUGAUUUCCGUGUCCAACGUUUGACCGUUCGUCUUAUUUGAAAAAAAUAUAAAAAAAAUUAAAAAGAUAAGUCACGCAUGAAAUAUUAAUCAUGUUUUAUCAUCUAGCAACAAUGAAAAAUUUCAUAUAAGACAAACAGUCAAAGUUGGGCACGGAAACCCAAGGUUUACCUUUUU
rnacentral:pre_miRNA from 1 species